rnacentral:tRNA from 1 species
GGAGAGGUGGCCGAGUGGUCGAAGGCGCACGCCUGGAAGGCGUGUAGGCGGGGAACCGUCUCGAGGGUUCGAAUCCCUCUCGCUCCGCCA